AUACCUUCUCGGCCUUUUGGCUAAGUUCAAGUGUAGUAUCUGUUCUAAACCCUAAACCCUAAACCCUAAACCUUAAACCCUAA
rnacentral:snRNA from 1 species